AUUGAACGCUGGCGGCAGGCCUAACACAUGCAAGUCGAACGAGUGGCGGACGGGUGUGUAAAGUCUGUGAAACUGCCCGAUGGAGGGGGAUAACUACUGGUGACGGUAGCUAAUACUGCAUACCUUCGGAUGUGCCCAGGUGGGAGUAGCUCGUAGGUUGGGUAAAGGCUCACGUAGGCGACGAGACCUAGCGUGUCUGAGAGGAUGACUGGCAACACUGGAACUGAGACACGGUCCAGACGCCUACGGGAGGCAGCAGUGGGGAAUGUUGCGCAAUGGGCGAAAUGCUGAUGCAGCCAUGCCGCGUGUAGGAAGAAGGCGUUCGGGUUGUAAAGUACUGUCAGCGGGGAGGCGGUACCCACAGAGGAAGCACCGGCGAACUCCGUGCCAGCAGCCGCGGUAAUUC
rnacentral:rRNA from 1 species